UACGUAGGGGGCAAGCGUUGUCCGGACUUACUGGGCGUAAAGCGUGUGCAGGCGGGCCGCUAUGUGCCGUGUGAAAGCUCUCAGCUUAUCUGGGAGAGGUCGCGGUAGACAGGCAGCCUGGAGGCUCGGAGAGGUCAGUGGAAUUCUCGGUGUAGUGGUGAAAUGCGUAGAGAUCCGGAAGAACACCGGUGGCGAAGGCGGUCUGCUGGGCAGUAGCUGACACUGAGGCGCGACAGCGUGGGGAGCAAACAGG
rnacentral:rRNA from 1 species